GACGAACGCUGGCGGCGUGCCUAAUACAUGCAAGUAGAACGCUGAAGAGAGGAGCUUACUCUUCUUGGAUGAGUUGCGAACGGGUGAGUAACGCGUAGGUAACCUGCCUUGUAGCGGGGGAUAACUAUUGGAAACGAUAGCUAAUACCGCAUAACAAUGGAUGACACAUGUGAUUUAUUUGAAAGGGGCAAUUGCUCCACUACAAGAUGGACCUGCGUUGUAUUAGCUAGUAGGUGAGGUAAUGGCUCACCUAGGCGACGAUACAUAGCCGACCUGAGAGGGUGAUCGGCCACACUGGGACUGAGACACGGCCCAGACUCCUACGGGAGGCAGCAGGAGGGAAUCUUCGGCAAUGGGGGCAACCCUGACCGAGCAACGCCGCGUGAGUGAAGAAGGUUUUCGGAUCGUAAAGCUCUGUUGUAAGUCAAGAACGGGUGUGAGAGUGGAAAGUUCACACUGUGACGGUAGCUUACCAGAAAGGGACGGCUAACUACGUG
rnacentral:rRNA from 1 species